AAACUGCUUUUAUGAGUGAAGAAUAUGACGGUAACUCAUGAAUAAGGGUCGGCUAACUACGUGCCAGCAGCCGCGGUCAUACGUAGGACCCAAGCGUUAUCCGGAGUGACUGGGCGUAAAGAGUUGCGUAGGUGGUUAGUAAAGCGAAUAGUGAAAUCUGGCGGCUCAACCGUACAGGCUAUUAUUCGAACUCACUAACUCGAGAAUGGUAGAGGUAACUGGAAUUUCUAGUGUAGGAGUGAAAUCCGUAGAUAUUAGAAGGAACACCAAUGGCGUAGGCAGGUUACUGGACCAUUUCUGACACUGAGGCACGAAAGCGUGGGGAGCGAACCGGAUUAGAUACCCGGGUAGUCCACGCCGUAAACGAUGGAUACUAGCUGUUGGAGGUAUCGACCCCUUCAGUAGCGAAGCUAACGCGUUAAGUAUCCCGCCUGUGGAGUACGGUCGCAAGACUAAAACAUAAAGGAAUUGACGGGGACCCGCACAAGCGGUGGAUCGUGUUCUUUAAUUCGAUGAUAAACGAAGAACCUUACCAGGGCUUGACAUCCAGGGAAGCACUACGAAAGUAGAGUGUGCCUUUUGGAACCCUGUGACAGGUGAUGCAUGGCCGUCGUCAGCUC
rnacentral:rRNA from 1 species